rnacentral:sRNA from 1 species
UUUUAGCCGUGAUGGAAGUGGAAAUCCUUUUUUAUCGAAAAUUGUGGUUUUUGUUAUUGAAGAAAAGCGACCAACGGAAGCUCUUUUUUUAAUUAGAAAAACCCAAUUUUUGUAAAAAAGAUUGAAGCGAACAGCGCGAUUAGCU